UGGAUGACCUGAUCCGUAAUGACUACUGGCCUGCCACUUCUCACUAUUCAACUGUGUAUGCAACAGAUGUCCUUUUUUUCUUUUUGAAGAGCUGAAGAUGGCAGCACCAGGGAUGUCUAGCCAAGCAUUUCUUAGAAUGCUGGAUCAACGCACUGUUCGAUUUGGCCGUGUAAGUAUUUGUGGUAAUAAUUGCGUAACUCCAUAAAUAAUACUAUGAGGGCAUGAUGAUGAUGAUAGUACACAUGAACAUUUGCACUGUUUAGGAAAAAAGUUGUGUUCAAUUUAGACCCUUUAUAAACAACCAUAAACUCAUGUUCUCUCAUCAGCAGUUUGCACUGAGACAUUUCCAAAAAAAAAAAAACAGGUAAUUCUGAAGAUCUCAACUUCUACUCCAUUGGCUACAGACUUUGACAUCUUCUCCCCAAUAUCAUUUCCUGAUCCCAGAAGUGUUCCCUUGGAUUAAUGGCCCAAACACUGCACAGGCUUACUUCUAAACAAUAUUGUAGCUGUUGUAGCCCUCUUUGUGUAAAGAUUUAAACUGAAUGUCAAACAAUAUCCUGUAUUUUUAAUGGCCAGGUCCCCCAAAUACACCAGUGUAUAGUGUAUGAGUGAAGUCUACACAUUGUUUAUUUCCUUUGAUAUGUAUUCUAAGGAGUGGUUACGAAGUUAGUACAAACAUCCCAUAUGUAUCCAUUUAGAACAUUUUUACUUCAGUGUAGUAUAUUGUUUAAUUUGAUCCGUUUUUUACUGUUCUCUUUUGUUCUCUUUUUACUGAACUCUUCUUUGAAACAGAGUGGAAACAUCACAGCAGACAGCUUCCGGAAAAAGCUUCUUGGAGUGGGAAGCUGUCCGAUUCGAAGUGGACAAAUUAUGCCAGGAGGACCACUUUGACUGCCCAGCGUGCAGCCCAGACAUGCUUGCAGUAUCCGUUGAUGGAAACCGUAAGCACUACAGAUUCAAGAGUGCAGCAAGAUCGGAGGAAAAAGCCAUCUUUGAUGGCGUGUUCAUCGCAAAUGAUGAUGAUGUCGCAAGAUUCGUGGACUAUGUCCAUACCUCAACCAGUCAUGUAAACUUGCACAACUUCUCUAUAUUUACCUAUAAAAACACCACGUCCUACAGAGGACUUAGUUUGAACAAGUUUGGAAUGUUAAACAUCUUCCAUGUUUUAGGUCUCUGGAAGAGGUGUCUGUGGAGGGCAAUGGUCAGCGGCGCGUGAAACUUCUCAGAAGUCCUCAGGAAAAACAGACGAGGAGGGCCUGGAACUCGCUGUAUGUCGUCAUGGGGUUCUCCUUCGUGCCCUCAAUAUGUUCAGGGGGAGAUUUUUUUGCCUACCCCCUGUACCUCCAAAAAGCAAAUGGCCUGUAAGCCAGUUAAAAUUUUUUUGCAAUGGAUGUGGCAUGCAAGUACUGGCCUUACCUCCAGAGAGUGACAGAGAAAUGCCCUGAGCUUGAGGAUCUCCUCACCAUGAGGCCAUUUCUUUCUGUUUUUCAUGCCAAAGCUCAUGAUUUCAAAUGUGAGGUAAGAAAAAAUGAUUGUCCAUGAUAUUUUCUUUCCCUAAAAUCCUGCAUAAGAUUGUUGCCACUUAGGUUUUGUUUUUUUGUUUUCUUUUUUUAAAGGUAAAAUGGAGUGGAGCAUAUCAGGAGGGGGCUGGUUCGACUCUUGGGGAAGAGGUGGAGCAGUGCAACGCCUUCCUCUCGAGGAUUGCUGUUACGACAAAGCACAUGUCAAAAAGCAGGUAAGGUAACCAGUAAAUUUUGAUCCUGAUGACAUGGGUGAGCCACUUAUGCAUACAUGCUGACUCUGAAAAAUAUAAAGAUCAGAAUAUAUUAAA
ensembl:lncRNA